rnacentral:rRNA from 1 species
UACGUAGGGGGCAAGCGUUACCCGGAUUUACUGGGCGUAAAGAGCGCGCAGGCGGUCGGAUAAGUCGCGUGUGAAAGCCCCCGGCUCAACUGGGGGGGGUCACGCGAUACUGUUCGACUCGAAGGCAGGAGAGGGUAGUGGAAUUCCCGGUGUAGUGGUGAAAUGCGUAGAUAUCGGGAGGAACACCAGUGGCGAAGGCGACUACCUGGCCUGUUCUUGACGCUGAGGCGCGAAAGCUAGGGGAGCAAACGGG